CACUUAAGUAUGUUUCAUGCGCAACUAAGGAAUCAGGCUUCAUAUAUCGGGUACGUUACCCACCAGUUUUCAUUUGAUAGACUUGUAUCAAUAAAGAAACAUGGUUGGAACAAAUACCGUAGUGUUGGCAUACGUGCUGGUCGCCAUUCUAUCUGAGCUGAACAAAUUAUCGAGAAGAACGCCAACUUCAAAUUUAUCGCGGAUCCAAGAAAGCUUCUUAUGCCGCUGUUGGCUGUGAUGCGACGCGCCCGAUGCUGGAUUUAUUUAAAUAUGGCUUGUUAAAGCGAAGUUGAUGGAAGAGGCACCGACACCGAACAGAUUCGCCUCAUAAAGACCUCUAAGAGAUGGUACUUCGA